UGUGUGUGUGUGUGUGUGUGUGUGUGUGUGUGUGUGUGUGUGUGUGUGUGUGUGUGUCUGUGUCCCUGUGUGUGUGCCUGCGUGUGUUUAAAGGCUCCUUUGAACUGCCUUUGUGCUGAGUCGGCGCUGCAUUUUGCCAAUGCUAGUCACGGUCAUACGAACUUUGUGUUAACCUCUUAUGUCGAAUGAAUCUUUUCAUUUGGAAGCCCAUAAAUCUCAUUCCGUAGCUCCUUUUGUGCGGCACGCUACGACUUAGUAAGCCAAGUGUGCGCCGAACAGCAACUUAAAAAAAAAAUAAAGCAGAGGGAGAGAGACAAAAAAAGUUGCGACCGAUUAAAAAAAGUACAACUUAAAAAAAAAGAGAUUCCAAUGUAAAGUGCGGGACUGGCAACUCGCAAGAGGGACGUGGAAAGGGAACGGAGAGGAAACGAAGCACCACGCACAAUCACAAGUUCGCUUCAUUUGAAUGGGAUUAUAUUCGGACAUUUCAGCGACACAAGUGGCGCACACUGCACGAUCAGCGUGAACUGUACUGGAACUACUCAUAUUGUUCCAUGGUGGAGGUGAGGAGAAUUGACCAGGGAUUUCGGAGCUGAUCUUUAUGCAAAGACCUCGCCUUCCUUGGUCUACAGAUUUCGAUAUUACGGGGGCGCCUUGAAAUACUACACCUUAACUUGUUUGCAUUCACUUCUGGGACCAAAGGAACGUUGUGCUUCACUCCGGAAGUCCCAACACUUGUUAAAAGUUGUCGAAAGCACCAUUGACGCCAGGAACGAAACCUACCCGUGGCUUAGUUCUGCUUCAUAAUCCCUUGGCAUGUGCUGGUGACAUCACACGAUGCCGGUCGCCAGCAACAUCCAGUCUCUUGCAACUGUCAUUUAAUGUCGCAAGCGAAUGAAAAAUGACUAUGAGACUCACUGGCUCCCCGAACUGACCUUGGGUAUUAUUGGAAUGACCUCACAUCGGUUUGACCAGAAGACCUUUGAUAUCUGCAUGAAGAAAAUAUACGAGUGAGAUGCCUUGUCUGCCAAUUGAAAAGGACAAUAAUCGGCGAGAAUAGCACAGAUCUCACGCUAUUCUGCAGCUUAUUUCUAUCAACAUUAAAAUGUGAUCAAUACACUCAAAUGGAAUCUCUUCCCAUUGCUUUCAGAAUGCAAUAUACGUCAUUGCUUUAUUACAUUUGGGGGGGAAAGCUAUAUGUAUGUUAUGUGUCCUCCCUGUCAGUUAGAAAUGAAUCGGAUGGUCGAUAGCGUUUAACUCCUGUCAAAGAGAAUUCUAUUACAGGUUAUGACAGAAUAGCGAGAGGCUGGGGGAACUCGGCGGAAACAAUAAGGGGGAUCCCACGUUCUGAACCGCCCGUUUAGUAAUCAGCCCCAGCGCUCACUAAUGAUCUGAAAAAUAUAGGUAUACAGGAUUCUUUGAUGUAAUCAGCUUUUCUCCACUCAAUCGCGCAGUCUACCCCGUCCCUAAACAAGCUCUAACCACUACCUUGGCCUAAUCAGCUCAGACACUCGAAGCACGUUCCAUGACUAAUACGAUAUCCUCAAAACAAAUUAAUGAGGACUGAUUACGGGAAAGCAGGUCCAUUCCCGGCUCCAGUUUCACCUUCCGCUACGUUCAUCUUCCUCAGUCAGUCUCUUCCUCCCCCCUCUACACAUUUCAUCAAUUCCUUUUACCUCUACCCCCUCUCCACCGGCCCUACUUGCCUACCACUUUAGUCCCCUUCUCCGUGCCUUCACCUAGACUUCUUCUAUCCGCUCCCACUAACACGCACUUGUACCUUUGUCCCUCUCAUGCCCAGAAUAAUUCUCAACCAACGUCGUUUUAAGGGAACUGUUGGACACCCAGAUAUAUAGGCACAAAAGCUGGGGUAACUCAGCGGGUCGGGCAGCGUCUCCGGAUAAAAGGAAUAGGUGACGUUUUGGACCGAGACCUUUGUUCAGACUCGGCAUCUCUGGGGAAAAGGAAUAGAUGACAUUCCUGUCGAGACCCUUCUUCAGAGUGAAAGUCCGUAAAAGGGCCUCGACCCGAACCGUCACAAAUUCCUUUUCUCCAGAGAUGCUGUCUGACGCAUUCUCCAGAGAUGCUGUCUGACCUGCUGAGUUACUGCAGUAUGUUGUGUCUAUCUUCGGUGUAAACCAGCAUCUAUAGUUCAUUCCUAUACGUUUAGAUAUAUGCCCUCAUCAGCUGAUAAUAUUAAGUUGGCGCCCCCUUGUAUGCGGCCAAUAUAGAAUGUCCUGUUACAUUAUGUGCCUGUCUGGUAUAUUUCGCAUUGCUUGACACGAAGGCUGGAGUAACUCAACGGGUCAGGCAGCAUCUCUGGAGAAAAUGGAUGGGUGACAUUUCGGGUCGGGACCUUUACUUCAAUGUGACCCGAAACGUCACCUAUCCUUUUUCUCCAGAGGUGCUGCCUGACCAGAUGAGUUACUCCAGCAUUUUGUGACUAUCUUUAGUAUCAACCAGCAUCUGCAGUUCUUUCUUUCUAUGUUUCACAUUAAGAUGAAUCUGGCCACAAUUAGCAGAAACGCUCUAUCUAACGGAAGUGGCCAGGAGAUAAUGAGUUAGCACAGGCUCAGAUGAUUACUAAGUUAGAGCACCAUUCAGAAAAAUAAAAUUAAUUUUAUUUCAUACUAAAACUAAUCAAAUGAAAAUGGGUGGCAUAAACCACCAUGGAAGACAUUGUAGGAAAAUGCAGCAUCUUAUUCUAGGCUCCUCCUAAGCUACACACUUCCAAGCAAUUUUGAAAUCAAUACCAAUAUUGUCAUGUGCACUUAUGACCAUUGGAGCACAGGAGUUGAGGUUGCAGGUCGGUCAAAAUGAUAAAAUACUUUCUUUCCAAAUGGACACCCGAGACAAUGUGACUGCAGCAUGCUGUAUUAUUUGUGACUGAAACACGGGGAUACAAAUAUUUCAAAGGCUGCAGAUACUGGCAAUAAUAUUUCUAUGAACAAAAUGAUACUUAGCUUUUAUUUUAAUUGAUAAUUUAGCAGCGCGUCGUUGCAUCGUCCGUUGUUCAAUGUUACAUUUUACGGGGAAUGGCAACAUUAACAGCUCUUAAUAUUUCAGAAAGAUAUCAUUUAAGGCAAGCAGCCGUUGUCAUUUUGUAAAAUGUCGCCAAAUUUCUGACUAAAUGGUCACCUAAUCGUUCAUCCGCGGGGAAACCCUAAAAGUUAUUGUCAUUAAAUAAAUACUUGACCCAUAUAUCACCAAUAAACUUUGUAACUGAGCAUUUCUGAGGCUUGUUAAGAAAUGAAUAAUUUGUGAUUUAUAUUAAAAUAGACCCAAUGAGUUGAAUGGAAUACACGGAAGUGACUGAAAGGCUGUUAAAAGAUCUUGUUCUCUGAACGAUGAUUUGCACAAAAUAAAAAACUUGGAAAAAGUUAA